UCUAGCCCUGACUCUGGCCCUCAGACAGGAACAGAUCUGGAGAGAGCUCUGUGACUAAGUUGUUUUCAUAAGAUGUCUGCUGUUUCAGGGUUGACAGAACACUGUGAACCUCCGGUAAAACUCAACUUCUCCUGGUACCUAAGGAGCUCCCGCUGCUUCGAUGAGGUAUUCGAUCUCGACGUAAGUUCCUCUCUCUCAUUUAGAAACUAACUGCACUCUGAAUGCGCUCAUUCAGGCUGUUGUAUUUCAUAAACUCUCCAGCUUUUCCUUUUUUCAGCUUGUUCCUUGUUCUCAAUUUAACAACAGGAAAUGCAAGAUUUAGGGUCUCAAUAAGGAUUCAUGUUUUAUGACUGUAUAGACAGUGUGGUUUGUGCAAAUACUUAUUAACUUUAUCAUACCUGUUUGAUUUGCAGCCUCUGAAGGCAGGGAGCUACUUCAGAAAGACAACUGUGAAGCAGGGAGGAGGCAGUGGGUUCUAUGUGUUUUUUCAGUACCCUGCCAUUGAGUGCAAACAGCACAUGACCCACAGUGAGUUCUUUCUCAACAGAUUUGAGGAGCCGACUAGGCUUACUGAGCAAGUUCAAGAACAGCCUGUCACUGUCAAGGACAAAGGGAUGAGGAAAAGGAGCGCUGAGGAUCCAAAGGAGGUAAAUCAAUAACUCAAACACCCUCUGAUAUCAUAAUCUGUAUGCUGAGUGUAUGUAAAUGUAG
rnacentral:lncRNA from 1 species